rnacentral:ncRNA from 2 species
UUAAAACGCCAGGGGUGCUAAGAUUUAUUCUUAGCUGAGAGUCACCCUUUAGACCUGAUCUGGAUAAUGCCAGCGUGGGGAGAGUGGAUAUAUUUCUUU